rnacentral:rRNA from 1 species
UACGGAGGGGGCGAGCGUUAUUCGGAAUUAUUGGGCGUAAAGGGCGCGUAGGCGGCUAGAUGUGUCAAAGGUGAAAUCCCUCGGCUCAACUGAGGAACUGCCUUUGAAACUGUCUGGCUUGAGGCCGGGAGAGGGUAGCGGAAUUCCCAGUGUAGCGGUGAAAUGCGUAGAGAUCAUGAGGAAGACCAGUGGCGAAGGCGGGUCUCUGGACAGUUCCUGACACUGAGACACGAAGGCCAGGGGAGCAAACGGG